rnacentral:rRNA from 1 species
UUUUUUUUAUUUGAAUAAAUGUUUAAAAUUUGUUUUGUGAACUGGAUUAGUACCCAGGUAAUCAAAAUUUAUUAAUUCGGGAGUAAAGUUAUAUUUAAACCGAAAGAAUAUUGACUGACUUUAGAUUUUUCUUUGGAAUAUGUGUUAGGAGAGCCCUCCUUAUUGGUAUUUUUUUUUUGGCACAUGUAUGAUUGUUUUGUUGCUAUAUUAUUUGUAGUGCUUUAAACUUUUUUGUUUUAAAACAGAUAUAUACUUGGCUUAUAAAAUUUUUUCGCAUGUAUUACUAUUUUUAAUUUUUUUUGGAUAUUUUUUUUAUUUUUUUUUGAAAUUGGAAAAGAAAGUAAUUUAUUCUUUA